UUAUAUUGAAAAUAUUCGAGUGCCCUGCCACCGGCGGGGAGAAUAGGGAAGCUGGGUGAAAAUCCCACACGGACCCGCCACUGUAAUCGAAGAGUUGUUUUCAAAUGCCACUGAGAUCUGAUUUGGGAAGGCGAAAACAAUGAUGACGCGUAAGUCAGGAGACCUGCUUGAGUAUGUUUUUUUAG
rnacentral:ncRNA from 2 species